rnacentral:rRNA from 1 species
CCCGCCGGACCUGACUGCUAUCGGAUUGAUACUAAGCCAUGCGAGUCAUUGUAGCAAUACAAGGCAGACGGCUCAGUAACGCGUAGUCAACCUAACCUAUGGACGGGAAUAACCUCGGGAAACUGAGAAUAAUGCCCGAUAGAACACUAUGCCUGGAAUGGUUUGUGUUCCAAAUGAUUUAUCGCCGUAGGAUGGGACUGCGGCCUAUCAGUUUGUUGGUGAGGUAAUGGCCCACCAAGACUAUUACAGGUACGGGCUCUGAGAGGAGUAGCCCGGAGAUGGGUACUGAGACACGGACCCAGGCCCUAUGGGGCGCAGCAGGCGAGAAAACUUUGCAAUGUGCGAAAGCACGACAAGGUUAAUCCGAGUGGUUUCUGCUAAAGGAACCUUUUGUCGGUCCUAGAAACACCGAUGAAUAAGGGGUGGGCAAGUUCUGGUGUCAGCCGCCGCGGUAAAACCAGCACCUCAAGUGGUCAGGAUGAUUAUUGGGCCUAAAGCAUCCGUAGCCUGCUUUGUUAGUUUUCGGUUAAAUCUAUACGCUCAACGUAUAGGCUGCCGGGAAUACUGCAAAGCUAGGGAGUGGGAGAGGUAGACGGUACUCGGUAGGAAGGGGUAAAAUCCUUUGAUCUAUUGAUGACCACCUGUGGCGAAGGCGGUCUACCAGAACACGUCCGACGGUGAGGGAUGAAAGCUGGGGGAGCAAACCGGAUUAGAUACCCGGGUAGUCCCAGCCGUAAACCAUGCAAACUCAGUGAUGCAUUGGCUUGUGGCCAAUGCAGUGCUGCAGGGAAGCCGCUAAGUUUGCCGCCUGGGAAGUACGUACGCAAGUAUGAAACUUAAAGGAAUUGGCGGGGGAGCACCACAA